ACACUGUUAUCUAACUAGAGAAUAUUAAUGUACAAGAACAAUAUAAUCAUAAAAAAUCGUCUAGUAAUUCAAACUUAAUUUACAUUUUGAAGUCAAUGAACAAAAUAUGACAACAGGAAAGCAGCAUACUAUAGAAUGAGCACACACCGAUAUACAGGUAAACAAAGCAAAACCUGCUUCAUUCACAUCAUAAAAUAACAAAUAUACCAAAACAACAAGCAUUAAAACCCAAAUU
rnacentral:lncRNA from 1 species